GACGAACGCUGGCGGCGUGCUUAACACAUGCAAGUCGAACGGAAAGGCCUCUUUCGGGGGGUACUCGAGUGGCGAACGGGUGAGUAACACGUGAGUAACCUGCCCUUGACUUUGGGAUAACUUCAGGAAACUGGGGCUAAUACCGGAUAGGAGCUCCUGCUGCAUGGUGGGGGUUGGAAAGUUUCGGCGGUUGGGGAUGGACUCGCGGCUUAUCAGCUUGUUGGUGGGGUAGUGGCUUACCAAGGCUUUGACGGGUAGCCGGCCUGAGAGGGUGACCGGCCACAUUGGGACUGAGAUACGGCCCAGACUCCUACGGGAGGCAGCAGGGGGGAAUAUUGCACAAUGGGUGGAAGCCUGAUGCAGCAACGCCGUGUGCGGGAGGACGGCCUUCGGGUUGGAAACCGCUUUCGCUCAUGACGAAGCUUUGUGUGACGGUAGUGGGUAAAGAAGCACCGGCUAACUACGUG
rnacentral:rRNA from 1 species